GGAGGUAGUGACAAUAAAUCACAAUGCGGAACUAUUAGUUUUGCAAUUGGAUUGAGAACAACGUACAAACCUUAUCGAUAAACAAUUGGAGGGCAAGUCUGGUGCCAGCAGCCGCGGUAAUUCCAGCUCCAAUAGCGUAUAUUAACGUUGUUGCAGUUAAAAAGCUCGUAGUUGAAGUGAAGUGAACAAAGAAGAGAAGAAUCUUCGGAUUCGGAUCUAAUGCGUUGACUCUUUCCAAAGUCAAUGUAUGGGUAUUCAUUUAUCUAUAUAUUGUGUUUGGUCGUUUACUGUGAGAAAAUUAGAGUGUUCAAAGCAGACGUUUGUUUGAAUACAUUAGCAUGGAAUAAUCAGAUAAGGCUUUCAUGUGUAUUUGAUUGGUUUGGAUAUGAAAGCAAGGUUAAUAGGGACAGUUGGGGGUAUUCAUAUUCAAUAGUCAGAGGUGAAAUUCUCGGAUUUAUGGAAGAUGAACAAGUGCGAAAGCAA
rnacentral:rRNA from 1 species